AGUGACCAUUAAUCCAGACACCACUUGUGGCAAUGGCUGGGUCUGUGAACAUAGAUGGCAUCAAAUAAGGGGGGAAUGUCCCCUUCAGUUCUUAUCUAAUAAGGAAGUUGUUUAAUCUUUUAUUUUAAACUGUUGAAUUAAAGGGUACUAGCAUUUCACCUGAUUCUGUGCUUUUAGGAACAUGGUAGCUUUCAGGAAUGUAGUCAAUGGUCAGCCUUUUUCAAACCGGGGAUAAUGGCAGCAACCAAGUGGCUUUUGGCAGAGGAAACAGAGGAUUCAUUAUCAUUAACAAUGAUGACUGGGCUUUGUCAAGCACUCUACAGACUGGUCUUCCUGCUGGCACAUACUGUGAUGUCAUUUCAGGAGAUAAAGUCAAUGGCAAUUGCACUGGACUUAAAGUAAAUGUUGGCAGUGAUGGCAAAGCUCACUUCUGUAUUAGUAACUCUGCUGAAGACCCUUUCAUUGCAAUCCAUGCCGACUCAAAGUUGUAAGAGUCAAAUUAAAGACAUGAAAAAGCAC
rnacentral:lncRNA from 1 species